UUUUUUCUUGAAAUCUCAUUCAAAGAGGUAUUAUUGUAAUUCCAAAGAGUGUUACUCCAGAAAGAAUACGUAGUAAUAUCCAGGUUUUCGAUUUUUCUCUAUCCAAAGACGAAAUGUAAUAUAUCGAUAAGAUAAAAACAAAACGACGUUACUUUGAUGUCGCAGCUAUGUUUAAAGACCACCCAGAACGUCCAUGGUGAAAGAAGAAAAUUGAACAAAAAUGUAGCAUUUUGUCAUACUUAUUAUUUACGCCCAAAGUUUUAUUUUUAAAUGGACAUUUAUAUUAGAAGGCAUUUAAAAAUGUUCUU